GCUUUUCCCAAACCGUAUCACACGUGCGUGAACCUCACAUUAUUGACCACACUGCUACGACAACACCCAUCACGCCAUUUUGUUGACUACCUUAUCACGGGACUGACUGAGGGAUCUCAAACCGGGUUGGUACACUUACCUACCGGUACACUGGAAUGCGACAAUUUACAAUCCACAUUAGAUGAUCCACAGUUGGUACACACACUUAUCAUGACCAAUGUGAAACAAGGGUUUUUGUUGGGCCCAUUCUUUUCCCCACCCUUCACAUCUUGGAGAACCAACCCAAUAGGGGUUGUCACGGGGAAGACUUCACUCAAACCUAGACUGAUAAUUGAUUUAUCUGCACCACAUUCCUCCACUGUCCCCAGCCUUAAUUCACUCAUACCUUCCGAAUAAUUUUCACUACACUACGCCACUAUCGAUCAUGCCAUAGGGGCCAUUCUUAAAGCUGGCACAGGGGCGUGGCUAAGCAAAACUGACGGGGUAAAUGCCUUCAAAUUACUACCCAUGCACUCUUCCCUAUGGCAUCUACACAGCAUUAAAUGGCAGGGGUUGUAUUAUUUCUUCACCCUUCUCACUUUUGGCUCCAAAAGCAGCCCACAAAUUUUUGACACGUUUGCAGAAUCUGAAUCUGUUGGUUAUUACUUAAUGUGUGUAAAUGUCAUUCGGUUAUUCACUAUCUGGAUGAUUUCCUCACGAUUGAGAACACACUUCCCCCAAGUAGUUUGAAACACGUGUUGGCUCUGUUUGAAUCCCUUACCAUCCCAGUCUCCCCUCACAAGACUUUGGGUCCAGACACUAGCAUGCAAUUUUUGGGGAUCCAACUAGACAUGAUACAUAUACAGGCUAGCCUCCCUCAGGACAAGAUUGAGCGUACCCUGGCAAGCAUUGAACACUACCUACUACAAGGUUAUUGCAACCGGAAGGAACUGCAAUCACUGCUGGGGUCGCUCAAUUUUGGUACUUAAAUCGGUACUUAAACCAAUUGCACAUGCCAAGACACAAUAUUUUGGAAAUUAAAAAAAAACCAACAUAGUGUCCAUAAUGCCAGACUAAGAAACCCCAGGCAUACAUAACGGAAAUAGUUCAG